rnacentral:pre_miRNA from 13 species
GUGUGUAUACAUGUAUACACAUAUAUGUGUGUAUACAUGUAUACACAUAUAUGUAUAUAUAAGUAUACACAUG